rnacentral:rRNA from 1 species
AGGUAACGGCUUACCAAGGCAACGAUGCAUAGCCGACCUGAGAGGGUGAUCGGCCACACUGGAACUGAGACACGGUCCAGACUCCUACGGGAGGCAGCAGUAGGGAAUCUUCCGCAAUGGGCGAAAGCCUGACGGAGCAACGCCGCGUGAGUGAUGAAGGUCUUCGGAUCGUAAAACUCUGUUAUUAGGGAAGAACAUAUGUGUAAGUAACUGUGCACAUCUUGACGGUACCUAAUCAGAAAGCCACGGCUAACUACGUGCCAGCAGCCGCGGUAAUACGUAGGUGGCAAGCGUUAUCCGGAAUUAUUGGGCGUAAAGCGCGCGUAGGCGGUUUUUUAAGUCUGAUGUGAAAGCCCACGGCUCAACCGUGGAGGGUCAUUGGAAACUGGAAAACUUGAGUGCAGAAGAGGAAAGUGGAAUUCCAUGUGUAGCGGUGAAAUGCGCAGAGAUAUGGAGGAACACCAGUGGCGAAGGCGACUUUCUGGUCUGUAACUGACGCUGAUGUGCGAAAGCGUGGGGAUCAAACAGGAUUAGAUACCCUGGUAGUCCACGCCGUAAACGAUGAG